rnacentral:misc_RNA from 1 species
CAUCCCUUCCACAGUUCCACGGCUACGCCGCCGUCGUCGGCUCAUCCCUCCUCCCCCUCCCGCCCGCAGUUCCAGGUGGUGCACCCCUCGACCCCAUCAGACUCGAUCUGUCGUUUCCUGGCUCCCUUAGGUCCCCUCUUCGCCACCACUCCGCCGCAUGCUCCCCAAAUCCGCCGCUCUAUGGGUGCAUCAGGUCUCGCUGCCAGUUCCAAUGGAGGGAAUAAAUGGGCAAAGGCGGCCAACGAGGAAGCUACGAUGACGGUGGUGGCUGUGGAGUCAGAUGAGCCUAGGACAGAAUCGCCGUUGGAGCGGGGAACAAUCAUCUACAACCUCCUCGUCACGCUCCCCUUUCCCUCCGGCCUGAUCUCGCGCCUCCGCCGUGCAUUCCUCCUCUGCCGCUUCACCACCGACCUGGUCUCUAGAUCCUCCCUCCACAUGCUCCAACUCCUGGUACAAGAGUGCCUGAGGUCCGCUAUCGACCUGAGCUCCGCUCAGGUCGCCGCUACCACUGAUAAUCGGCCUCCAGCCCACUGCUUUACUUUUGGCGACGAGUCGACGACUGGGCAACUACCGCUGCC